CUUCCGGUCAGGGAGGUACAUCGACCUCUUUGAUCGGAAGGGGUUCCUUCCGAUCAACGAGGUACAUCCUCGUUGACCGGAAGGAAACUCUUCCGGUCAACGAGGUAGAUGUACCUCGCUGAUCGGAAG
rnacentral:miRNA from 1 species